GACGAACGCUGGCGGCGUGCUUAACACAUGCAAGUCGAACGGAAAGGCCCUGCUUGCAGGGUGCUCGAGUGGCGAACGGGUGAGUAACACGUGGGUGAUCUGCCCCUUACUUUGGGAUAAGCCUGGGAAACUGGGUCUAAUACUGGAUAGGACCAUGCUGUAGGUGGUGUGGUGGAAAGUUUUUUUCGGUAAGGGAUUAGCUCGCGGCCUAUCAGCUUGUUGGUGGGGUAAUGGCCUACCAAGGCGUCGACGGGUAGCCGGCCUGAGAGGGUGGACGGCCACAGGGGGACUGAGAUACGGCCGAGACACCUACGGGAGGAAGCAGUGGGGAAUAAGGGAAGAAGGGCGCAAGCCUGAUGCAGCGACGCAGCGGGGGGGAUGACGGCCUUCGGGUUGUAAGCUCCUUGCAGCGAUGACGAAGCCUCUUUUGGGGUGACGGUAGUGGUAGAAGAAGCACCGGCUAACUACGUG
rnacentral:rRNA from 1 species